GUGGGGAAUCUUGCGCAAUGGGCGAAAGCCUGACGCAGCCAUGCCGCGUGAAUGAUGAAGGUCUUAGGAUUGUAAAAUUCUUUCACCGGGGACGAUAAUGACGGUACCCGGAGAAGAAGCCCCGGCUAACUUCGUGCCAGCAGCCGCGGUAAUACGAAGGGGGCUAGCGUUGCUCGGAAUUACUGGGCGUAAAGGGCGCGUAGGCGGUUCGUUAAGUCAGGGGUGAAAUCCCAGAGCUCAACUCUGGAACUGCCCUUGAUACUGGCGAUCUUGAGUGUGAGAGAGGUAUGUGGAACUCCGAGUGUAGAGGUGAAAUUCGUAGAUAUUCGGAAGAACACCAGUGGCGAAGGCGACAUACUGGCUCAUUACUGACGCUGAGGCGCGAAAGCGUGGGGAGCAAACAGGAUUAGAAACCCGGGUAGUCC
rnacentral:rRNA from 1 species